CAUUACACAGUCUCUUCUAAGGAGUCACGGGAGCUGGAAGAGGUCAGCAAGGCGAUGGAGGUCUCCAUUCUCAGGCCAGGGAACACUGAAGGUACCCGCUGGCUACCACAAACAUCGCAUGCCCUGGAGGUCCUCAUGAGGAACUACAAGCCUCUACUUGUACACUUCGAGAACCACACCAGUGAUCCCCAUGACAGGGAAGCGACUGCAGCCAUAAAGGGGAGGGCAAAGCUUAUGCUGAAGUCUCUGAAGCAGUACAGCACACUCCUCUUCAUCCACCUCAUGCUGGAUAUCCUUCAAGUUUCAUAAAGACGGCCUCACACUCCAGAUGGUCUCGGAUGGGCUGCAGACGUCAUGCAUGGUUUUUGUAGCUAUGCAGACAAACCCAGGCCCAAGGCUGCAGCGGUUCCUGACCGAAGUUGGGACUGGAUCCGACUGGCAAGGUGUUGAGAUCAACAGGACCAGCGCCGAUGAUGACAACUUUAACAACCUCAAGCUUCGCCUCACCAACAGCUUCUGUGAGUUUGCGUCAGAGCGUUACAAGAG
ensembl:lncRNA